UUUUUUAUUAUUUUUAUUUUUUAAUCUUUAUUUUAAGUAGCCUCCAUGCCCAGUGAGGGAUUGAACUCACAACCCUGAGAUCAAGAGUCACAUGCUCCAUGGACUGUGCCUGCCAGGCACCUCAACCUUUACCGAAAUACCAAUGGCUUUGAAAAAGAGAAUCAUUUAAAGCAUAUUUGUCAAUGGUAGACAGUCCUCAUAAUAUAAUGAUUAAGAACACGGAUUCUGGAACCAGGCUGCUUGGGUGUGAAUCUCACUUUUGUCACUUAUGAGCUAUGUGACCUUGGGCACGUUAUCUGAUUUCUUUGUAUCUAAAUUCCCUCACCUGUGAAAUUGGGACAUUAAUGAUUCUUACCUUAUGGAGUCACUAAGAGUUUUAGUGGAGCUAAUGUGUAUGAAACAAUGCCUGGAAAAUAGGAACCACCAUAUAAAAGUUUGUGCUGAAUAAAAUACAAAGAGCUAUGAUGUUAGAAACAGAUGACUUUGAGAAGGUGAGAGCAAGGCAAGGCAAAGGAGAGCUAAGGUGUCCUAAGUCUCUGGAGGAAACAAGAGUACCACACUGUGGGCAAUCCUGGCAGGAGUGGACAGCAGACUUGUCUGCUUCUCAGUUUUAUCCUGUCAAGCCCCCAAAGAGAAAACCCCAGCAUGGCCCCAAUCCUACCUAUGAGAGCUCACUUCUCCCUUCCUGAGAAGCAGCUUUUAACCCAGGGUGGGCUCAGGCAAGGCAUCAUGACUUUCUACUGUUGCUGCUUCCAUCCACAGAGCUCUCUACCUAGAAUCUACACAGGACUUGUCAGGGUGUCCUCUACCCACUUGAUUUGACUUGAGUAUGUGGUUUCCUGGCUUACCAAGGCCUUGACAGAAAUCUGGCCCCAAGACGACUCCUCCAAAGCCUCAAGCGAUGGUCACCAUUUCUGAUGUUAUUAAAAAUGGACUGGGGAGGCUGAGAAAUAUGUGAGCUUUCUCGUCUCUCCUCUUCUCUUCUCUCCUCUCUUCUCUUCUCUUCUCUUCUCUUCUCUUCUCUUCUCUUCUCUUCUCUUCUCUUCUCUUCUCUUCUCUUCUCUUCUCCUCUUCUCUCUCUCCUCUCCUCUCCUCUCCUCUCCUCUCCUCUCCUCUCCUCUCCUCUCCUCUCCUCUCCUCUCCUCUCCUCUCCUCUCCUCUCCUCUUUCUUUUUCUCUUAAAGGAAAAUGCCUGGUGGACUGUUCUAUCUAGAUGAUAGUUGGCUUUUAUCAUUAAUUUUCAACUGAGCCAAACUUUUUAGAAAAAUAGGGGAGGAAGAAGGCUGACCAGUGAAUCCCCAAACUCUAGCAGAAUCUAAGGAAUACCCCUCGAUUUUUCAAAGGGCAGUGAGAAUGUAGAAAAUCUAGAAUCACUCAUACACUGCUGGUGGAGUGUAAAAUGGUACAACCACUAUGGAAAGCAGCUUGGCGGUGUCUUAGGAAAUAAAUAGGCAACUACCAUACUUGCCAUUUAUCUUCAUGAAAUGACAAAUUAACUUUCACACAAACACCUGUGCUACGAUGUUUAUAGCAGUUUCAUUGGUAAUAUCCCCAAAGUGGAAACAAUCCAGCUGUACUUCAAUGCGUGAAUGGUUAGACAAACUGCGGCAUAGCCACAUCAUGGAAUAUUAUGUAGCACUAAAAAAGGAACGAGCCACAGGCAUGCCUCAAAGUGAGUAAAAUGAAUAUUUUUGCUUCCCAGUGCAUGCAAAAAUUACACUACACUGUAGUCUAUUACACUACACUGUAGUCUAUUAAAUUUGCAAUACCGUCAUGUCUGAAAAAAACAAUGUGUAAACAUUACAAGAUAAUGUAUUGCUAAAAAGUGCUAAUUAUCAUCUGAGCUUUCAGCAAGUCGUAAUCUUUUUGCUGGUGGAGGAUGCCUUGAUGCUGACUGGUUAAGGUGGUGGGUGCUGAAGGUUGGGGUGGCUGUGGCAAAUUCUUUAAGAAAAUAACAAAGAAUUUUGCUGCACCCAUUGACUCUCCCUUUCGCAAAUGAUUUCUCUGUAGCAUGUGAUGCUGUCUGAUAGCAUUUUACCCACAGCUUAGAUUCUUUCAAACUCUGCCAUUUCCUUAUCAGCUGAGUUUAUGUAACAUUCUACAUCCUGAGUUGUCAUUUCUACAAUCUCCAUAGCAUCUUCCCCAGGAGUAGGUUCCAUCUCAAGACCACUUUCUUUGCCUAUCCAUAAGAAGCAACUCCUCAUCCACUCAAAUUUUAUCCUGGCAUUGCAGCAAUUCAAUAUAACAAGUUUGUUAUAAAAAAAAAAAGUUUGAAAUGCUGUUGAGAAUUACCACAUGAGACACAGAGACACAAAGUGAGCAAACACUGUUGAAACAAUGGUGCCAAUAUACUUGCUUAAGGAAGGGUUGUCACAAACCUUCAAUCUGUAAAAUAAUAAAGAAUAAUAAUAAUAAUAAAUUAGAUAUACUUAUAUUGACACAAGCAACAACUUGGAUGAAUCUCUAAGAGAAGCAUGGGACAGUGGUUGGGGCAGGAGAUAAGUAGCUGUGGCUAUAAAAAGAAACAUGAAGAAUGCUUAUGGUGAUGGAAAUCUUCUGUAUCUUGACUGUAUCAGUAUCACUGUCCUGGUUGUGAUAUGAUGCCAUAGCUUUUGUGAGGUGUGCCACUAGAAGAAACAGAAUGUGAGUGUAAGAGAACUCUCUGAAUCCUCUCAAAAUUGGGUGUGAAUCUACGAUUAUCUCUAAACAGAAGUUUAAUUUAAAACAAGAGGAGUCAGAAGGACUGACUAUCCCCAGACUCACCUUGAACUCCAGCAAGACCUAAAUAAUGCUCUUCAGUUUUCCCACAGUCCCUGCUCAAAAGAAUUUCUAGUCUUAGAAAGACUUAACUGGAUGAAAAGUCAGGCAAAUAGAUUUGUUCCUUGCCACACAAUUAGGCCCUCAGUUCACCUACUGUUGAUUAUGUCACUUCUUCAUUCAAUGAACAUUUAUGGUGCCCUCUUGGGUACCCAGGACUAUACAAGGUGCUAUGGAUACAGGGGGACAGAUAAUAGACUGUCUGACCUGAAUGGAGCUCAUGUUAUAAUGAGAUCAUUUCAUGGAGUGGUAAGUACUAAGGAUGCGUGGAACAGGGUAAUGCAGGCAGUGUUAGGGGAGGGAGCCUCUUUCCAAAGUCAGGAAAAGCCUUUCCUAGUGAGUGUUUUGAUCACAGAGCCGAAUGAUGGAACGGAGCCCCAGUGCUGGGGAGAAGAGCCCUGAUGUAUUGCCUCUAGAAAGGUCACUCUUGUAGGGUGAAGCAUACAUUGAAAGGAAGCAAGAAGGGAAGUGAGGCGACCCCUUCACAGGCCAUUUCAGCAAUGGCUUCCUCAACUAAGGUUUAGCAAUGGAGACAAUGGUGCCACUUUCUAGGAUGAGAAAGCCUGGAGGGAGGAGGGAAUCUGUUAGGUUGGAAGGAAGAAAUCAAGAGUUUGGUUUAAUCAUGCUCAUUUUGAUAUGUCUGAUGUAUAUUGGACCACAAACAUUGUGUAGCCUCAUUCUUUUCCUCCAUCCCAGCCCAUGCUCCAUCAGCUCUGUGUCACUCCCCCACGUCCAGACUUGAAUGGCAUAUCACUCUGCAAGGCGUCUUCCUGCAAGCCAGCAAGGGUUUAGGUUAUGCAUACUAGAAGUGUAGAGCUACAACCUGGAGGUGAACCAUAAGCAAGGGGAAAUGGGAGCUAAAAAGGAACCAGUCAAAGUCUUCGUUUUUCUCUCUCCUGUGGACCACUCUAGCGUACGGUAUCUUCAGACACCUCUUCCAGAGAAGUCCCAUAUGGUGUGUGAACACAACUUCUGAGUGACCUGCUGGGUCUCUUGGCAGCAUUCUGUGGUGGAAGCCAGGAUGGUAAUAACAGCUCUUCACAUCAUAUCACACCUUUACCUCCUUUCCUUCUUUCUCUUAUACCCAAUACCUAAGGAUUUGCACCUCUCAAUUAAACUGUCAGAAUCUUAAUCCUUGCCUUGGGCUUUGUUUUAUGGAGGACUCAAUUAAGACAGCAUCCAAACGGAGAUGUCAAUUAAGAAGUUAAAGGUCUAGAACUCAGGAAGGAAGGCAAGAUUGGAACUACUAACUCGGGAAACGUCAGAAGGUGCAUUUGGAACCAUAGGACUAAUGUAGUCACAUUGAGAGAGUGUGUGGAUAGAAAUAUGGGUAAAAGAGCAAACCUGAGGCACUCUGAAGCCUAAUGUUCAGGGGAGGGGGUGGGUCCAGCUGAAGAGAAUUGAGAAAGAACAGUCAGUGUGGUAGAAGAAAAUCUGAGGAGGUGUAGCAAAUGAAGGCAAAAGAAGGGGAGAACAUUGCAAGAGAAAUGGAAACAAUCUGGUGGGUCAAAAUUAGCUAAGAGGUCUAGCAAUGUGAGGGAGAGGGGAAACUAUUGGAUUAGGUGCCUUAGAAGUGGCAGGUGGCCUUGAUGAGAGCAGUUUCUGUAAGGAAGUAAGAUUGGAGUGGGUCGAGGAGACAGAGGGAGAUGAGGAAGUGGAAAAAGCUAACAUCAUAGACAAGUCUUUGAAGAAAUUUAAAUGGAAAUGGGGAAGAAGUCAAGUGGG
rnacentral:lncRNA from 1 species